AGACACUGCAAGUCUUUUCUCGUUAUGCAAGACACUGUAGGUUAGUUCUCGUUCUGCAAGACACGGUAAAUCUGUUCUUGUAGUCAAAGGUAAGUCUGUCUGUUUUCUUUCUCUGUUGUAGUUUGAUUACUACCUACACUCAUAAACGUUAUUUAUUUCAUAUUGCAGGGUAAGCUUGUUUUCGUCGUACAAAAUAAGUUUGUCCUCGUUCUCUGGUGUUCCUUAAUCAUUGUAAAUAUCAAUGAUUAUGAGCACCAGAGAACUGAACGUACUGGAAAUCAGAAAUAUGUACGUACUGGAAAUCAAAAAAUG